GAAGAAACCGGGAAGCAUAAUUCCAGCAUAAGAGACGCCAACAUGGAAGACAAAGAAGACGACGAAGAGGAUGUAGAGGUGAUGAGUGUAGAAGAAGAGUUCAAACAUCUUUCUCCUAAUGCGAGGGAAUGUUGCAAUCCACAACAAAGGUGAUGAGUGUAGAAGAAGAUUUCAAACAUCUUUCUCCUAAUGCGAGGAAAUGUUGCAAUCCACAACACCAAUCCAGAAAGCAAUGACAACUCUCCAGCCAAAUUUGAGAUAUCAGUUUUUGC
rnacentral:lncRNA from 1 species